rnacentral:rRNA from 1 species
CAGUCGCCGCGGGAAUACAGAGGGUGCGAGCGUUAAUCGGAUUUACUGGGCGUAAAGCGCACGCAGGCGGUCUGUCAAGUCAGAUGUGAAAUCCCCGGGCUUAACCUGGGAACUGCAUUUGAAACUGGCAGGCUAGAGUCUUGUAGAGGGGGGUAGAAUUCCAGGUGUAGCGGUGAAAUGCGUAGAGAUCUGGAGGAAUACCGGUGGCGAAGGCGGCCCCCUGGACAAAGACUGACGCUCAGGUGCGAAAGCGUGGGGAGCAAACAGGAUUAGAUACCCCGGUAGUCCCUGUCUCUUAUAC